UACAUAGGGGGCAAGCGUUAUCCGGAUUUAUUGCGUGUAAAGGGUGCGUAGACGGAGAGACAAGUUGGUUGUGAAAUCCCUCGGCUCAACUGAGGAACUGCAACCAAAACUAUUUCCCUUGAGUGUCGGAGAGGAAAGUGGAAUUCCUAGUGUAGCGGUGAAAUGCGUAGAUAUUAGGAGGAACACCAGUGGCGAAGGCGACUUUCUGGACGAUAACUGACGAUGAGGCACGAAAGUGUGGGGAGCAAAC
rnacentral:rRNA from 1 species